UGGGGAAUUUUGCACAAUGGGGGCAACCCUGAUGCAGCGACGCCGCGUGAUUUAGAAGGCCUUCGGGUUGUAAAAAUCUUUUGUAUAGGAAGAAAAUGACAGUACUAUACGAAUAAGGUCCGGCUAAUUACGUGCCAGCAGCCGCGGUAAUACGUAAGGACCGAGCGUUGUCCGGAAUCAUUGGGCGUAAAGGGUACGUAGGCGGUUAGAAAAGUUAGAAGUGAAAGGCUAUAGCUCAACUAUAGUAAGCUUUUAAAACUGUUUAACUUGAGGGAUGGAAGGGAAAGUGGAAUUCCUAGUGUAGCGGUGAAAUGCGCAGGUAUUAGGAGGAAUACCGGUGGCGAAGGCGACUUUCUGGCCAUUAUCUGACGCUGGGGUACGAAAGGGUGGGUAGCAAACAGG
rnacentral:rRNA from 1 species